AGCAUGUGGUUUAAUUCGAAAGCAACGCGAAGAACCUUACCAGGCCUUGACAUGCAGAGAACUUUCCAGAGAUGGAUUGGUGCCUUCGGGAACUCUGACACAGGUGCUGCAUGGCUGUCGUCAGCUCGUGUCGUGAGAUGUUGGGUUAAGUCCCGUAACGAGCGCAACCCCUGCAUUCAGUUGCCAUCGGGUAAUGCCGGGCACUCUGGAAGGACUGCCAUCGACAAGAUGGAGGAAGGUGGGGGAUGACGUCAAGUCAUCAUGGCCCUUAUGUCCAGGGCGACACACGUGCUACAAUGGCCGGCACAACGGGAAGCGAGUUCGCGAGGACGAGCGGAUCCCUCAAAGCCGGUCGCAGUUCGGAUUGAAGUCUGCAACUCGACUUCAUGAAGCUGGAAUCGCUAGUAAUCGUGGAUCAGCCAAGCCGCGGUGAAUACGUUCCCGGGCCUU
rnacentral:rRNA from 1 species